rnacentral:rRNA from 1 species
UACGUAGGGGGCAAGCGUUGUCCGGAUUUAUUGGGCGUAAAGAGCGUGUAGGCGGCCAGAUAGGUCUGUUGUGAAAACUCGAGGCUCAACCUCGAGACGCCGAUGGAAACCAUCUGGCUAGAGUCCGGAAGAGGAGAGUGGAAUUCCUGGUGUAGCGGUGAAAUGCGCAGAUAUCAGGAAGAACACCCGUGGCGAAGGCGGCUCUCUGGGACGGUACUGACGCUGAGACGCGAAAGCGUGGGGAGCGAACAGG